GACGAACGCUGACGGUGUGCUUUAGACAUGCAAGUCGAACGAGAAAGCCCUUCGGGUUAGUAAAGUGGCGAACGGGUGAGUAACACGUGGGCAAUCUGCCCCUCGCAGGGGGACAACCGGAGGAACUCCGGCUAAUACCCCGUAAGUUCAAAGGGAGGCAUCUCUCUUCGAAGAAAGGUAGCUUCGGCCAUCCGGCGAGGGAUGAGCCCGCGGUGCAUUAGCUAGUUGGUGGGGUAACGGCCUACCAAGGCGACGAUGCAUAGCUGGUCUGAGAGGAUGAUCAGCCACACUGGGACUGAGACACGGCCCAGACUCCUACGGGAGGCAGCAGUCGGGAAUCUUGCG
rnacentral:rRNA from 1 species